UACGUAGGGAGCAAGCGUUGUUCGGAUUUACUGGGCGUAAAGGGCGCGUAGGCGGCAAUUCAAGUCAUCUGUGAAAUCUCCGGGCUUAACUCGGAAAGGUCAACUGAUACUGUGCGACUAGAGUGCAGAAGGGGCAACUGGAAUUCUCGGUGUAGCGGUGAAAUGCGUAGAUAUCGAGAGGAACACCUGCGGCGAAGGCGGGUUGCUGGGCUGACACUGACGCUGAUGCGCGAAAGCCAGGGGAGCGAACGGG
rnacentral:rRNA from 1 species